GACGAACCGUCCAAACGUUAUUCGGAAUCACUGGGCUUAAAGGGCGCGUAGGCGGCCGAGCGGGUCACGGGUGAAAUCCCCCAGCUUAACUGGGGAACUGCCCUUGAUACCACUGCGGCUCGAGGAAGGAAGGGGCAAUCGGAACUGUCGGUGGAGCGGUGAAAUGCGUUGAUAUCGACAGGAACGCCGGUGGCGAAAGCGGAUUGCUGGUCCUUUUCUGACGCUGAUGCGCGAAAGCCAGGGGAGCAAACGGG
rnacentral:rRNA from 1 species